GUUUUUGAAAUGAGUAGUGCUCUAACAAAAUGACUUUGGAAAUGCUUUUAUAAACAAAUACACAAAUUCACUGUAUGAAGGUAAUGAAGACAGCUUCCUCUCAUGUAUAUCUUUAUUCUUCAGGAUAAUAUAUCAUAUGACCCAAGUAUACAAUUUUAUUCUAAUUAAGUUUCGGAUAUUAUGCAAGGGAAGUGAAAGCAGCUUAGGCAAGGUUAUUUUUCCAAUGGCAUUCCAAGCAAACAUUAUGGAUGAUGCCCUAUUCCACACAACAACAACAAUAAUAAAUUAAAUAAAUAGUCAUGUAAUAUUGCUUUUGGAUUAUAUUCUCACUUUUGAUGAAAAUGUACAUUUAAGUCCUUGAGAACCCAGGGCAAUGCUGACAACAGAAAGCAGAUAAAUGGAUUGUGACUCUGUACAUAGUAAAGCAAACAUUCCAAGGAAAUAAUUAUAUCUAUGAUUUUUUUUCUUUCAGAACAAAUACAAACUAUUCUCAACUUUUCCUAGGUGGAAAAUGAUUUGUUGUCCUCAUUAAAAGAGGGAAGUCCUGAUUCCAUCAAUCUGUGUUGGUUGUACAAAUGCCUUGAUAUGCAUUCACAGAUAACAGUCUAUUUAAAGGCUACAUGGAGGAAAGAGGACAAACUGGCUAUGAUUGUUAAUUUUAUGUGUCACCUUGCCUGGGCCACAGUGUUCAGAUAUUUGGUCAGAUAUUUUUUGGAUGUUUCUAUGAGGAUGUUUUGAACUAAAUUUACACUUAAAUUUCUGAACUUUGAGCAAAGAACAUUGACCUUCAUAACGUGAAUGGGCUUCAUCCAAUCAGCUGAAGUCCCGAAUAGAACAAAAGGCUGAACUCUCAUGAGCAAGAGGAGAUUCUUUAGCAGGCUGCCUUUAGACUUUAUCUGCAACAUUGGCUCUUCUUGGCUUGCCAGUGGACUGACUUUGGAACUAAAUUGCAACUCUUUCCCGAGUCUCCAAUGUGUUGGGCUCCUCCAUCAGAUUUUGGACUCACCAAGCCUCCACAAUCAUGUCAAAAAGCUAAUAUGUUUGAGAACCAUCUAUUUAAAGAACAGCAAGUUUGGACCAACAAUAAAGACCAACGGUGAAAGCAGGCAGCCCCAGAAUAACUAGAAAACGCCAAAAGGAGGACCUCCUACUCACAAAUAUCAAACCAUUUGACAGCAACUUUCAACACUAGGUUUGCAUUUUUAAAAUAACUUUUCUUUAGGCUCAUCCAUAACAACUCAAGGAUUUCCUACAGAAGGACCUAACCAGGGCUGUCAUUCAGCCACGACUCACAGGUUAGUGACAUCAGCUGGCAAUCCAACUUUCAGCUUUGCUGGGGACAUUUUAAUCGCCAGAAGUUCACAAAAUAUCUGUUGUUAAAUAUUUUGAAUAUCUCUCCUAAGCCUACCUAAAUCCUGGAGAAAUAGGUAUACCUUAUCAAAAAGAUAUUGUUAAUCCAAAGUGAUACAUGGUAUAAAAAGUAUUCACAUUUGGCUUUGAAGUGUAUUUUUGUGCUAACAUUUGAAUGUGUGUCUGAUGUUCUGAGAAAUUACUUCAAAGAGAUUAAUGAAGCCAUACAGUGAAGACCUGACUCAGGAAAGCUGGGAAAUUGUCCAGCUUUUUCUUCAUUCUGUUUCCCUGCCGAACUCCUCUUUGACACCCACUCUCUGACACCAACAAGGUAUAGCUAAAAUAUCUUUUAGAAUAAUAUCAAUCCUUCCUUAUAGAAUGGAAGAUGGCAGUUUGAACACUGCAGACUUUUUUUUUGUUACAGCAGACAAUGCAGAAUUUAAAAAUGCAUCUAUAAUCUAUCUUUGUUGAUUGUAUCUUUAUUACGCACUUUCCUUUCAUCCUUUUGAAAGAGGCUCUGGUUUUAUUUAGAGAUCCUAGUGCUUUCAGGAAAACUGGGUUCCAUCUCAGCUUCAGGUGUGGAAAAUGUGACCUGGGCAUCCUCCAAGCUUCAAGUGUGGGAAAUGUGACCUUGACACAGUACAUCCCAUUUCCUUCAUCAUAGUCAUUGGGUUCAGACCUGAAUAUUCAUCCUAAGCUUGUAUAAUAACAGUAAAUCCCAGAAUUAUUGAAGGAUUGCAGCUAAGCUCUCUUUCUUUGGAUGAUGUCAUAUAUAGAUAUGAAGCUUAGGCCUGCUGUAGACAUUUUAAUAUAGUUAUUGUGAAGAUAAACCAAUGUAAAAGAUGCACAGGCUGAGAAAUACAGAGCUGGAUCUCUCAUGAUACUGUAAACCUCUCCAUGAAAUCAUGCCUGAGCCCUUCCCCAUCCAUUAACACAUGCACUUAACCAAAUAUUUUUUUCAUUUUUUAAGUCAAUUAAAGUUGAGUUUUCUGUUAUUUGCAAUUUAUGGCCUCCUAAUUGAAACAGUAAGUCAACAAACAGGUAAUUAAACUGAUUAGGAACUGUCAAUUAUGUGAAAAUAUAAAUGCUUCCAAUUAAUAUGAAAGAAAAUUUCACCAUAGAUAAUGACAAGUUGAUAGACACAUUUGCCUCUCUCUGUGUUGUGUCUUUCUCUGUCUCUCUCUCAGCAUUUACAUGCAGGCACACACACACACAUAUCACCAAUCUAUGUUGCCUGCUAUAUUUUAAUUCAGCUGAGCUGUAUAUUUUCAAAAAUUAAAUGAUAAAAAAAAUAAUCUCUAUGUUAUGAGCUAAAGUCCACUUGAUCCUGGAAGAGUAGCUUGUGAGAAGGUCAAUGUAUAUCAAAUAUCAGAAUGUUCGGCUCCAAAAGUUCCAGUAGCUUAAGCUUCUGUGCUUUAAUCAGAUGUAGAUUGUAUCUUUUUGUACAAAGAAGUAAAUAAAUUUUGACUAGAAGAAGAAUAACCAGAAAUGGUACUGGCAAUAAAUGAAAAUAAGAAAUCAAAUACUAUGAAUUAGACUUUUUAUCCAAUCCUCGUAUUGACAAGACAUCAUUGUCAAUAUUUUGAAGUAUUCAGAAGAGUCUAAUGUACUUUAUUAUUACACAAUAAUAAUUUUCUUAUGUAUGGUAGAACUGAAGCAAAAAAAAGAAGUCAAUAGUCAGCAAAAUUAACGUAAAAAUAAUGCUUUAUCACCUUUUAGAAUAUGGUGAUGAAUAUAAAUAUAUAAUAAGCGUCUUGUAUAAAAUUUUGCUACAGCAGUUUUUUUAACCUAUGAUUCAGGGGUUGCACAAAAACAAAUUUACUAGAUAAAAUCUUGUCAAUAUUAUUGGGUAUCUGUAUAGAAGUAAUUAAAAAUUAAUAAAGAGAAUUUCACAAUCAAAGGUCAUGUUGCUGUUGUUCAAGCCCUUAUAGCUAGGUAAUUGCUUUCUCUAAGAAAAAAUCUUGGCAAUGCAUCAUUAGCCUUUCCCUGUAGUCAGAACAACUGCAGCGAGGCUGUUCUUGAAAGUGCUCAGUGACACAUCCUGCCAGGGCAAUGGCUUGUGUCGGCACUCUGCUUUCUGCUGCAGAGAUGUAUAGGACCAACCGACAGGCACAUCAUUAGCAAUAACUGGGAAACAGGAAUUACGACACAAUGGAAAGAUAAAUGCAUUCCACCCAAAGCAACCUGAGAGAAAGGUAGAAAGAAGAAGCUUAGUGAUGGAAUAGGUGGUUUGGGUGGCUUCAGUUACAAACAUAUAAGGUUGAGUUAGCAACUGAAAUUGUCUUCAACAGAAUCUGAGAGAUAUCAAGGGAAGUCCCUCACUAGCAAAUCAACAGUUGAUACUCGUACAAAAGAGUUCUGAAGAGAGAAGCUAUAUUUACUCUACAAUGAGGCAAAAGAAAAAAUGCUCUCACUUGUAGAGUCUUAAUUUUUUUAAUUCAAAAGAAAAGGCAUUUAUGAUACCAUAGGAUAUUAUGUAAUAUCAAUGUUAUACUGAUAAUCAAAGAAAUUGUUUAAUAUGAUGGACUUUUUUAAAGUACCUGGAAACAAUGUGAUGCACCUGCCUUCGAUUACUGCCUUCUCACUGUGUCCUCACAUGACCUGUUCUCUGUGCAUGUGCACAUGUCCCUGGUAUCUCUUCAUCUUCUUAAAAGGAUGCCAGUCAUAUUGGAUUGGGAUGUAGCCUCGCAUUCACCUCAUUUAAUCUUAAUUACCUCUCUGAAGGUACAAAUACAGUCACAUUCUAAGGUACUGAGGGUUAGGGCUUCACCAUAUGAAUUUUUAGGAGACACAAUUCAGUUUAUAAUAAUAGCUAUUCUAAUGCAGUACAUAAACUACAACUUUGAAGAGAAGUUAUUUAUUUUAGUUUGAUGAAAUCAAAGCAAAUAACUUAUAAAGCAGCACCACAUGGCCAGGAUAAUAUGUGUACUACAGAAACUAAGCACGAUACUUUUGAAUAUCAAGACCAAAAUGUUAGAUGAAGGCUGUUAAAAUAUUUUUAUCAGGUAAAAACUACUUAAAAUAACAUCCAAAUAAAUUUAUCAGUGUUAGGACUAGGGGAAAAAAUCUGUUGUAAACUACCAAAUGACGACCAUAUCUAGUGGAGGAAACAAAAUUAUCUAUUUCUAAAUAAAACUAAACAUUUUUACUUCUUAGCAACUAGUUGGUAAUUAGAAAUAGGUGAAUAUUACAUACAAAUUUAAAUUUAUAAUAAACUAAAAACCUAAAGUAUGGAAUUGGGAGCUUUUACUAGCUCAUGAAGGAAAAGGCAUGUCUCGUCUUCUGCAUCGUCACUACUCCAAAAUAAAUGAUGCAAUGAGAACUGUCUACAUGAGGAGAAGCAUAAACAUUGACCACUAUGUUAGUUUGAAAGGAGUUUUCUUUAUCAUAUUUGUAUAUCUACAGUAACAGGUAUUGAAGUUUUGAAUUCUCUACAAUAUACAGAAUUUAUUUUUGCUGUUGUUCAUAUUCCUAAGAAAAAUACGAACAUAAGACCAGACAAGGCUAGUCUACUUAUAUAAGGCCGCAUUUUUAAUCCUUUUCAAGAAUCAUCUUCUUGUAAAUAUAAGACUAUGGAAAGAAGUGACUUUAGAACCCAAAUGUUGUUGGUCACAAAUUUUGAAGUGUCCAGGUCAAGUUUCUCUAUUUAUUAAAUUGGAUAGAAAUAGUAUUUACUAUUUUUAUGAAGAUUAAACAAGUUACUGUAAAGAUUAAGUAAGAUAAUGCCUGUUAAGUACUUAACACCCACAACAGGAUUGUUAAAAAGGGCUUUCACUCCUUCAGUUCCUUCUCGUUUUCAUUUUUAUCUAAAAACUAGAGAGAGGUAAUAUUUCAAGUUUUGAAAACAAAAAAUGUAGAAAUCAUAUCUAAGUGCAAAAUUACUAUUAUUGCCAUUUUCAUGAUUAUUUUCAUUGUGUGCUUUUCUUUUUUAUUAUAAUAUAUACAUUUACAUUGUACAACAUGAUGUUUUCAUAUGCAUAUUCAUAAUAAAACUACUACAAGUAAA